GCCUGGCUGCCAUCAGGACUUUAAAAAGGUACAUUGUGACUAUUUGUCCUCCUGCUUUUCUUUCUCUUAGGGUGGCUCGGACCCCCUCCCCUGGCCCCAGCGUGUCAGCAUCUGCUCAGGGCUGCUCUGUGCCGUCGAGUACCUGCAUGGUCUGGAGAUCAUCCACAGCAACGUCAAGAGCUCUAAUGUCUUGCUGGACCAAAAUCUCACCCCCAAACUUGCUCACCCAAUGGGUCAUCUGUGUCCUGUCAACAAAAGGUCAAAAUACACCAUGAUGAAGACUCACCUGCUCCGGACAUCAGCCGCGUAUCUGCCAGAGGAUUUCAUCCGGGUGGGGCAGCUGACAAAGCGAGUGGACAUCUUCAGCUGUGGAAUAGUAAGAGUGUCCUGCUCUGUGCAGAGUGGGGCCCACCUUGAUUUGUCCUUCCCACGGCUCCUUUGUA
rnacentral:lncRNA from 1 species